CAGUAGCCGCGGUAAUACGUAGGGUGCGAGCGUUAAUCGGAAUUACUGGGCGUAAAGGGUGCGUAGGCGGUUAGUUAAGUCUGUCGUGAAAUCCCCGGGCUCAACCUGGGAAUGGCGAUGGAUACUGGCUGGCUAGAGUGUGUCAGAGGAUGGUGGAAUUUCCGGUGUAGCGGUGAAAUGCGUAGAGAUCGGAAGGAACAUCUGUGGCGAAGGCGACUAUCUGGGCCAACACUGACACUGAGACACGAAAGCGUGGGGAGCGAACAGGAUUAGAUACCCCCGUAGUCCCUGUCUCUUAUAA
rnacentral:rRNA from 1 species